rnacentral:lncRNA from 1 species
AGAACUCUCCUUUUGUUAGAGCAUAAUCAGCCCCACAGAUUCCUGAAGAAUGCUGGCUUUUGUCUAACCUCUGGAUUUGGAGGGAAAACUGUGUUUCCUUUGGAGCCAACACUACCAACCUGAACAAGAUACAAACCGAUGAGAUCUAACCGACAUGCCAUGAAAAACACAAAAAUGAUGUAGCGUACGAAAUGAUGGUAAAUGUUCUAUACAGCGAGUUAGAAAUGAUGGAUAAGCGAAUAAAGAAAGGGGCCAAGGAAAGGGCCGAAGCAAGUAAAUGAAGCAAAAGUAAGACAAGGAAGGAAAGAGAGGAAUGGAGAGGAUUGAUGAGAAGGGAUGGAAAUCCAAGAGGGAAAUGAUGCCCUGAGAUCAAAAGUGCAUAGAGCCCAGAGAGGCAGAUCAGCAGAGAAAUUCAGCUUACAGUGUCUGCCCCCAGUAUUCAACCACCCUUGCAUGUCUCAUGGUGAACAACUGGAUAGGAAAAAACAUAAAGUUUAAAGUUCAUGUAAGAUCUGAGGAUGCUGAAGCUGCUAAGCUUGUGUUGGAGGGUCCAAGACUGUGUUUUGAAGACAGUGAAUGCACGCUAUGAAGGUUGGAAGGAGCGAGAAGUGCCUCGGAUUUCCUCCUCUCGCAGAGUGACUGUUCUAUUAAGACUGUUCGGAGCUUUGGCGUUAAUCAAUGGAGUUCUGAUAAACUAUCAGCCUAACCCUGAUAAAACGUCCCACUCUAGAUCCACUGUCAUAGUCGCAAGCUCAAGAUUUUAAAUGGUCUCCCGGGCUUCUACUGCGACUCAAGGGCACAAGUCUGCUGCUCUUCCUACAGUGUGGAUUUCACUGCAGAUGACAAAUCUUGGUAAUAUCGAAAAUGUCUCUCUUUCUGU